AUGAGGGGUGGGGGGGCGCUGCAGUUGCGCCUGCCGCCGCCUUGGGGCCUCCGUGGCGGGGGGAGCGGUGGAUGUCUGCCCUGUGGGGUCCUGACCCGGGCCGCCGCCCCCUCCGUGCAGGGCUCGUCGCACCUCCCCCAGCAACUCAAACUCACUACUUCGGACUCCUGCGACCGCAUCAAAGAUGAGUUUCAACUGCUGCAGGCUCAGUACCACAGUCUGAAACUCGAAUGUGACAAGCUGGCCAGCGAGAAGUCAGAAAUGCAGCGUCAUUACAUGAUGUACUACGAGAUGUCCUAUGGCUUGAACAUCGAGAUGCACAAGCAGGCUGAAAUCGUCAAGAGGCUAAAUGGGAUAUGUGCCCAGGUCCUGCCCUACCUGUCCCAAGAGCACCAGCAGCAGGUCUUGGGAGCCAUCAAGAGGGCUAAGCAGGUCACUGCUCCUGAGCUGAACUCCAUCAUCCGACAGCAGCUCCAAGCCCACCAGCUGUCUCAGCUGCAGGCUCUGGCCCUGCCCCUGACCCCCCUGCCUGUGGGGCUGCAGCCUCCUUCCCUGCCGGCGGUCAGCGCAGGCACCGGCCUCCUCUCUCUGUCGGCGCUGGGCUCCCAGGCCCACCUCUCCAAGGAAGACAAAAAAGGGCAUGACGGUGACACCCACCAGGAGGGCGACGGCGAGAAGUCGGAUUAGUGGGCGGCUGGGAUGGGGAGGGUGGGGGGUGGGACAGAGGGGAGACAGACCCUGAGAGAGAGGAAGGUUCAGCACGCGAGACAUAGUAACAGCUUGGGACUGGCCAAACUCCGGUAGUAUUUAUGGUCGCUGCCUGCUGGGGCUGUCGCCCUGCUUCUGUGCGCUAUCUUGGCUUGGCUCCUACCCCCAAUUCCUGGCCUCCCUCCU